UACGUAGGGUGCGAGCGUUAAUCGGAAUUACUGGGCGUAAAGCGUGCGCAGGCGGUUUUGUAAGCCAGAUGUGAAAGCCCCGGGCUUAACCUGGGAAUGGCAUUUGGGACUGCAAGGCUGGAGUGCGGCAGAGGAGACUGGAAUUCCUGGUGUAGCAGUGAAAUGCGUAGAUAUCAGGAAGAACACCCGUGGCUAAGGCGGCUCUCUAGUACGGUACUGACGCUCAGGCACGAAAGCGUGGGGAGCAGACAGG
rnacentral:rRNA from 1 species